rnacentral:rRNA from 1 species
GCGAGUCUGAAUAGGGCGCAUAAGUAACAGGUCGUAGACCCGAAACCAGGUGAUCUACCCAUGUCCAGGAUGAAGGUAAGGUAAUACUUACUGGAGGUCCGAACCCACGCACGUUGAAAAGUGCGGGGAUGAGGUGUGGGUAGCGGAGAAAUUCCAAUCGAACUUGGAGAUAGCUGGUUCUCUCCGAAAUAGCUUUAGGGCUAGCCUCGAGGUAAAGAGUCAUGGAGGUAGAGCACUGUUUGGACUAGGGGCCCUUCUCGGGUUACCGAAUUCAGAUAAACUCCGAAUGCCAUGUACUUAUACUCGGGAGUCAGACUGCGAGUGAUAAGAUCCGUAGUCGAAAGGGAAACAGCCCAGACCACCAGUUAAGGUCCCCAAAUAUAUGUUAAGUGGAAAAGGAUGUGGGGUUGCUUAGACAACCAGGAUGUUGGCUUAGAAGCAGCCACCAUUGAAAGAGUGCGUAAUAGCUCACUGGUCGAGUGACCCCGCGCCGAAAAUGUACCGGGGCUAAACAUAUUACCGAAACUGUGGAUGAACCUCUUCGGAGGUUCGUGGUAGGAGAGCGUUCUAAGGGCGGUGAAGUCAGACCGGAAGGACUGGUGGAGCGCUUAGAAGUGAGAAUGCCGGUAUGAGUAGCGAAAGAAGGGUGAGAAUCCCUUCCACCGAAUAUCUAAGGUUUCCUGAGGAAGGCUCGUCCGCUCAGGGUUAGUCGGGACCUAAGCCGAGGCCGAUAGGCGUAGGCGAUGGACAACAGGUAGAGAUUCCUGUACCAGUGCUAAUUGUUUAACCGAUGGGGUGACACAGAAGGAUAGGGAAUCGCACGAAUGGAAAUGUGCGUCCAAGCAGUGAGUGUGAGAAGUAGGCAAAUCCGCUUCUUGCGAAGCAUGAGCUGUGAUGGGGAAGGAAAUUAAGUACGGAAGUUCCUGAUUUCACGCUGUCAAGAAAAGCCUCUAGGAAGAGUAGUACUGCCCGUACCGCAAACCGACACAGGUAGAUGAGGAGAGAAUCCUAAGGUGAGCGAGAGAACUCUCGUUAAGGAACUCGGCAAAAUGACCCCGUAACUUCGGGAGAAGGGGUGCUCUAUUAGGGUGCAAGCCCGAGAGAGCCGCAGUGAAUAGGCCCAGGCGACUGUUUAGCAAAAACACAGGUCUCUGCAAAACCGUAAGGUGACGUAUAGGGGCUGACGCCUGCCCGGUGCUGGAAGGUUAAGAGGAGUGCUUAGCUUCGGCGAAGGUACGAAUUGAAGCCCCAGUAAACGGCGGCCGUAACUAUAACGGUCCUAAGGUAGCGAAAUUCCUUGUCGGGUAAGUUCCGACCCGCACGAAAGGCGCAACGAUCUGGGCACUGUCUCAACGAGAGACUCGGUGAAAUUAUAGUACCUGUGAAGAUGCAGGUUACCCGCGACAGGACGGAAAGACCCCGUGGAGCUUUACUGCAACCUGAUAUGGAAUGUUUGUACCGCUUGUACAGGAUAGGUAGGAGCCGAAGAGACGUGUGCGCUAGCAUACGAGGAGGCAAUGGUGGGAUACUACCCUGGCUGUAUGACCAUUCUAACCCGCCACGCUAAGCGCGUGGGGAGACAGUGUCAGGUGGGCAGUUUGACUGGGGCGGUCGCCUCCUAAAGAGUAACGGAGGCGCCCAAAGGUUCCCUCAGAAUGGAUGGAAAUCAUUCGCAGAGUGUAAAGGCACAAGGGAGCUUGACUGCGAGACUGACAAGUCGAGCAGGGACGAAAGUCGGGCUUAGUGAUCCGGUGGUUCCGCAUGGAAGGGCCAUCGCUCAACGGAUAAAAGCUACCCCGGGGAUAACAGGCUUAUCUCCCCCAAGAGUCCACAUCGACGGGGAGGUUUGGCACCUCGAUGUCGGCUCGUCGCAUCCUGGGGCUGUAGUCGGUCCCAAGGGUUGGGCUGUUCGCCCAUUAAAGCGGCACGCGAGCUGGGUUCAGAACGUCGUGAGACAGUUCGGUCCCUAUCCGUCGCGGGCGCAGGAAAUUUGAGAGGAGCUGUCCUUAGUACGAGAGGACCGGGAUGGACACACCGCUGGUGUACCAGUUGUUCCGCCAGGAGCAUCGCUGGGUAGCUAUGUGUGGCAGGGAUAAACGCUGAAAGCAUCUAAGCGUGAAGCCCCCCUCAAGAUGAGAUUUCCCAUUUCUUCGGAAAGUAAGAUCCCUGAAAGAUGAUCAGGUAGAUAGGUUUGGAGUGGAAGUGUAGCGAUACAUGGAGCGGACAAAUACUAAUCGAUCGAG